rnacentral:rRNA from 1 species
UACAGAGGUCUCAAGCGUUGUUCGGAUUCAUUGGGCGUAAAGGGUGUGUAGGUGGCGCGCUAAGUCGGGUGUGAAAUUUCGGAGCUUAACUCCGAAACUGCAUUCGAUACUGGCGUGCUUGAGGACUGGAGAGGAGACUGGAAUUCAUGGUGUAGCAGUGAAAUGCGUAGAUAUGCGGAGGAACACCGAUGGCGAAGGCAGUCCCCUGGGCCUGCACUGACGCUCAUGCACGAAAGCGUGGGGAGCAAACAGG